ensembl:lncRNA
GCCCGGGAAAGCAAGCCAGUAAGCAGCAUCAUCUAUGUCCUCUGCGUCAGCUCCUGCCUCUACAUCCUAGCGUGUUUGAAUUCCUGUCCUGAGUUCCUACAAGGAUGGACGUAUGCUUGGUGAACAAGUUCUGCUGUCGAUAGACAAGAAAGGAAACCUGGAACUUUCUCUGUGAAUGCUGUCUUUCGUUGACCGAAGACUCACAAGGAUUUGAUUCAGCUGCAUACAUCAGUUCGGUAGGUGACUCAUCUGUGAUGGAAUGGAUUGAGCAAACUGAAAGCAGUGUGAAGUAAAUGUGACAGAUUUGGGGUCUUUUUCUUUUUUGUAUUCUAACAGUAGUUUUUGGUUGGGAUGCUUUGGGCUAGGAGGGCAUCUCGCACUUUGUGAACUACUAGGAGGCUAGAAAUAUGUGUUGGGGUGUGUAACCUUACUCUCAACCUCAGUGAAAGAAAUAGGAUAGGGUGGACUAUAGUAAUGAGGUAAUUUCUGCAGAUCUGUUGCUAGCAGGGUUGAUGGGUUACAAUGAAAGCCUUCAUCCAGUAUUCUUAGGGGUCCCUGCUCAUGCUGGCAUUGGGGACUCAGUCAAACACAGUGAGUGUUUGGUGCCAAGAGUUCCCAUUAGGUGCUACUGAGUCUAGAACUUGCAUUUAUGUCUAACCUCUGGUCCUUGGGAUGCAUGUGGCUGAGAAUAGGUAUGCAUUCAGUCCAACACAAAUGAUGUGAAGUUACUUGAAACAGGAAAGAUUUUUCUAACAGUGUGGGACAGUUCUCAGUAGUGGAGUUUGUAGCUGAUGACAUUAUGAUAGUGCUGUGACAGCUGAAGGCUGGAUAUACCUGCCUGCAUCCAUUUGAAGCAGGAUUGAAUUGGGUAGAUCACCUGAAGUGGGUUGGUAUUUUGACCUGAUAGUGUUUUUGCUACUUUCCAACAAUAUUGGUGUCAAUUUAUUUUUCCCUAAAAUUGACGUGUUUGAAUCUCUACCCUCAGUCUAUGGUGAUAUGAACUGGCAUCUUUGGGAGGUGAUAGCUCUCCUCAUGAGUGGGAUUACUGCCCAUUCCAGGUUACAGGGAAGUGGGACCUCAUAUACACAAUAAAACUAUGUAAAGUAUUUUUAAAUACAAUGUUAUAUGCAUUAAAAAUUGUGUUUGCUUUAGAUUUACAAACAUGUUAUGGAGAGGGUAGAGAAUGUCCCCAAAAGAACACCAGGGGAUGUGAAUCUUUUGGCUUCUCUGGAUACAUGGUUGAAGAAUUGUAUUGACCACACGUUGCACAGCCUCUCUGUUACUAGAGUUGUACUUUGGUACAUGGUACAUUUGUAUCUCAUUACUAACUGAAGCCCGUGCUUUAUUCAUGGCUCAUUAUUUGCUCCUAAUUGGAUUUUCCUAUGCUGGUACCUUAUCUAGGAUGCCUCCUCCCAAUUCGCAAUGUAGUACAACCUUCCUUGGUGCCUGGGGCUCUCCUGCCUCUGACUUCCCUUGUUUCUGAUGACCUUGGCAGUUUUGAAGAGUCUUAGGCGAGGUGUCUGGCUGAGGGACCAUCAUUUGGACUUCUUUUGAUUCCUUCUGAACAGACUGGGAUUAUGGGUUUGGGGAAGGAAACUACAGAGGUAAAAUGCUAUUCCCUUGACUUCAUACCAAGGGGCACAUUGUCAGGCUGACUUGUGUGUGCUAUUGCCUUGGUUGCCUGCCUGAGGAAGGGUCUGUAGCUAUUUCUGUUGUAGAGCUGUUUUUUCUGCCAUGUCUAGUCUGUACACAGCUCUUGAGAACAGUCAGAUUUGGGGUAAGGAGUUAUUAGACCCCUCUUAGUAAGGUGAGGAGCAACUGAAAUUUGGAAUUUCUGUGCAUAAGAGAUUUGUGUCUUGAAG